GACAGAGGGGGCAAGCGUUGCUCGGAAUCACUGGGCGUAAAGGGCGCGUAGGCGGGAUGGCAAGUCGGUCGUGAAAUCCUUCGGCUCAACCGAAGAACGUCGGCCGAUACUGCCGUUCUUGAGGGAUGCAGAGGAGAUUGGAAUUCCGGGUGGAGUGGUGAAAUGCGUAGAGAUCCGGAGGAACACCAGAGGCGAAGGCGGCCUACUGGGUCAGUACUGACGCUGAGCCGCGAAAGCCAGGGGAGCGAACGGG
rnacentral:rRNA from 1 species